AGCGCAGGCGGUUUGAUAAGUCUGAAGUUAAAGGCUGUGGCUCAACCAUAGUUCGCUUUGGAAACUGUCAAACUUGAGUGCAGAAGGGGAGAGUGGAAUUCCAUGUGUAGCGGUGAAAUGCGUAGAUAUAUGGAGGAACACCGGUGGCGAAAGCGGCUCUCUGGUCUGUAACUGACGCUGAGGCUCGAAAGCGUGGGGAGCAAACA
rnacentral:rRNA from 1 species